CGAAGCAAGUGACGGUACCCCCGGAAGAAGCACCGGCUAACUACGUGCCAGCAGCCGCGGUAAAACGUAGGGGGCGAGCGUUGUCCGGAAUUACUGGGCGUAAAGGGCGUGUAGGCGGCAUAGUAAGUCCGUAGUGAAACCCGACGGCUCAACCGUCGGCUUGCUAUAGAAACUGCUAAGCUUGAGUGCAGUAGAGGGGAGUGGAAUUCCCAGUGUAGCGGUGAAAUGCGUAGAUAUUGGGAGGAACACCAGUGGCGAAAGCGGCUCCCUGGCCUGUAACUGACGCUGAGGCGCGAAAGCGUGGGUAGCAAACAGGAUUAGAUACCCUGGUAGUCCACGCCGUAAACGAUGGGUGCUAGGUGUUGUGGGUAUCGACCCCCACAGUGCCGGAGUUAACGCAAUAAGCACCCCGCCUGGGGAGUACGGCCGCAAGGCUGAAACUCAAAGGAAUUGACGGGGGCCCGCACAAGCGGUGGAGUAUGUGGUUUAAUUCGACGCAACGCGAAGAACCUUACCAGGUCUUGACAUCUCCUGACAGCUUAUGAAAGUAAGUUUUUACCUUCGGGUGACAGGAAGACAGGUGGUGCAUGGUUGUCGUCAGCUCGUGUCGUGAGAUGUUG
rnacentral:rRNA from 1 species